rnacentral:lncRNA from 1 species
CCCAAAUUUCACCCCAAAUUCCAAAUCCUUCACCCCAAAAUUCAUCCCAAAAUCCAAAUCAUUCACCCCAAAUUCCAGAUCCGUCACCCCAAACUCAAAAUCCUGCAUCCCAAAGCCCAAAUCCUUCACCCCAAAAUUCACCCCAAAAUUCAUCCUGAAUUCCAAAUCCUUCAUCCCAAAAUUCCCAAAUCCUUCAUCCCAAAUCCUUCAUCCCAAAAAUCCCCAAAUCCUUCAAGUUCCCAAAUCUUUGAUCCCAAAUUCCCAAGCCCUUCCUCCAAAAUCCCAAAAUCCUUGAUCGAAAAAUCCCAAAUCCCAAAUCCCCCAAAUGCUUCAUCCCAAAUUCCCAAAUCCCCCAUCCCAAAUCCUUCACUCCAAAUUCCCAAAUCUUUGAUCCAAAAUUUCCCAAACCCUUCAUCCCAAUCCCCAAAUCCUUCACUCCAAAUUCCCAAAUCCCUCAUCCCAAAUCCCCAAAUCCUUGGUCCAAAAUCCCCAAAUCUUUUAUCCCAAAUUCCCUAUCCCAAAAAUCCCCAAACCCUUCCUCCAAAAUCCCAAAAUCCUUGAUCCAAAAAUCCCAAACCCUUCAUCCCAAAUCCCCCAAAUCCUUCAUCCCAAAUUCCCAAAUCCCAAAUCCUUCAAUCCAAAUUUGCAAAUCUUUGAUCCAAAAUUCCUAAAUCCUUCAUCCCAAAUCCCCAAAUCUUUUAUCCCAGAUUCCCCAUCCCAAAUCCCCAAAUCCUUGGUCCAAAAUCCCCAAAUCCUUGAUCCAAAGAUCCCAAAUCCUUCAUCCCAAAUCCCCCAAAUCUUUUAUACCAAAUUCCCAAAUCCUUCAUCUCAAAUCUCCCAUCCUAAAUUCCCAAACCCUUCAUUCCAAUGCCCCCAAAUCUCC